GACGAACGCUGGCGGCGCGCCUAAUACAUGCAAGUCGGGCGGAGUUUCCCGGCGGAAGCCUUCGGGUGGAAGCCGGGGGACUUAGCGGCGGACGGGUGAGUAACACGUAGGCAACCUGCCCAUAAGACCGGGAUAACAUCCGGAAACGGAUGCUAAGACCGGAUAAGCGCCCUUGUCGCAUGACGGGGGCGGGAAACACGGUGAAGAGCUGUGGCUUAUGGAUGGGCCUGCGGCGCAUUAGCUAGUUGGUGAGGUAACGGCUCACCAAGGCGACGAUGCGUAGCCGACCUGAGAGGGUGACCGGCCACACUGGGACUGAGACACGGCCCAGACUCCUACGGGAGGCAG
rnacentral:rRNA from 1 species